AGGAAUGGGGAGGUAGAGGAAGGAAAUGGGGAGGUGCAGGGAGUAACGCCCUAUCUACAUGUACAUGUACCACUGAGUUUUAAAACACUAAUUUCAAGUGUAACUUGGGCUAUAUAUGUAAACUUUUUUUUUUUUUUUAUAACAAUUUGAAAGUUUUUUUUUUUUUUUAAUUUUUUACAUUUCACCUACAUAUUUAAAAUUUUAUUAAGCCCAUCUAACUUUUUCAAAAAUUCAUUCUUUUAACCUUAA
rnacentral:lncRNA from 1 species